rnacentral:rRNA from 1 species
AUGGCAUCCAAGGACCAUGGAGGCGGCGCUCCUCGGGAAGACGGAUCUGACGACUGCGGCUGCGGGUCCUGGACGAUAGCUAUGCUCCUGUACACGUCCUUCUGGCUGGUCAUGAUGUACCUGCCGCCCAUGGAUUCCUUGCCCGGGAUUCGAGAGCUCGACGGCUCGCCGCCAUGCAACGACGACAAGCCGACCACGUGCUCCGUGGAGCUAGCCGGCGCCAGGGGGCUCGAUCCGGCGCUGGCUCCGGGCGCGACCUCGCCGGCCUUCGACCUCGUUCUGCACGUCGACAAUGGGCACGUCUACGAGCUGUGCCAUGGCGGCGGCGACGUCGUCAUCUCCUACGCGGGCGUACCCCUCGCGCGCGGGCGCACGCCGAGCUUCCGGCUGGCGGCCAAGGACACGGGGCGGUGGCCGGUGAACGUGACGGGCGCGGGGCUGGGGAUCCCGGCGGAUUUGUCUCGCCUCAUGACGGCGGAGCGGCGAUGGGGGGUGGCGCAGCUGGAGAUCGACAUGGGCCUAGCCUGGCAGUCCUUCACGUGCGACGUUUUGGUUGACGGGCAACCCGGCGCAUCAGCGUGCAGGCUAGCAUAA